AAACCCACUGUUUUACUCUCCCAAAAAUCAGCCCUAAUAAUGUCUAUUUUCAAUUACUUCCCUCUUAACUCUUAGAUUUCUCUCUCCCUUGUCUGUUGCUUCACAUUUCUUUCAUUCUUAUCUUUUUCAUCUUCAUGUGACUGGUGGAUGCGACCUGAUUGGUAUCAUUGGCACGAACAUAAAAAAGGCAGACCUCUUCCUCGCUAUACCAGAAGAGGCACGAAAAUGGUAUUGCAUCCGCCUACUUGCUCGAACCCAUUAGAUUGACCACUUAAUAUUUCAACCCAAAAAUAUAUAUUUUGUGAAUUUAUUUUUUGGAAUGGCCACCGCUUGCCUUGUGAUUUUGAUUCUAAAAGAGCUUAAAUAAUGAGGGAGGAUGGUGAUGAAUGACUAUGAUGAAUGGAGAUGAAUGAUGAA